ensembl:scaRNA small Cajal body-specific RNA 2
CUUCACUGGAGGGAAAGCGGCCUGGGAAUGUGAUCUGUGGUACGUAGUGUGUUGUGUAAGGUGCGUGUGGGCCGAGAGUAUGAAUGGAUGCGUGAGUGAGCGUGUAAGGCGAGCGAGUGGUUUCUCCUGGCCUUCCCCCAUCUACACCUUGAUCUUAUUUGAUCGGGUCGUGACCCUUGCCCCGCCGGGCCGCCCCGAAAUGAAAAGCUCCCCUCCUGCGAAGCCCCCUUCUUUGGGCGCUGUGCGGCGAGGCCACAUGGGCGGCGGCAGCGCCGUGGUUCUCGAGGUCCCGGAGUUGGCCCUGCGGGCGCGGUGCUCAGAAGUGAUGAAUUGAUCAGAUAGACGAGGCCGGGUUUGUCCCGUGCCGCUGAUUAUCGAGGCGAUUCUGAUCUGA